rnacentral:rRNA from 1 species
UAACGCGUGGAUAAUCUACCCUUAAGAUGGGGAUAACGGCUGGAAACGGUCGCUAAUACCGAAUACGCUCCCGAUUUUAUCAUUGGGGGAAAGAUGGCCUCUGCUUGCAAGCUAUCGCUUAAGGAUGAGUCCGCGUCCCAUUAGCUAGUUGGCGGGGUAACGGCCCACCAAGGCAACGAUGGGUAGCCGGUCUGAGAGGAUGACCGGCCACACUGGAACUGGAACACGGUCCAGACUCCUACGGGAGGCAGCAGUGGGGAAUAUUGCGCAAUGGGCGAAAGCCUGACGCAGCGACGCCGCGUGAGGGAUGAAGGUUCUCGGAUCGUAAACCUCUGUCAGGGGGGAAGAAACCCCCUCGUGUGAAUAAUGCGAGGGCUUGACGGUACCCCCAAAGGAAGCACCGGCUAACUCCGUGCCAGCAGCCGCGGUAAUACGGAGGGUGCAAGCGUUAAUCGGAAUCACUGGGCGUAAAGCGCACGUAGGCGGCUUGGUAAGUCAGGGGUGAAAUCCCACAGCCCAACUGUGGAACUGCCUUUGAUACUGCCAGGCUUGAGUACCGGAGAGGGUGGCGGAAUUCCAGGUGUAGGAGUGAAAUCCGUAGAUAUCUGGAGGAACACCGGUGGCGAAGGCGGCCACCUGGACGGUAACUGACGCCGAGGUGCGAAAGCGUGGGUAGCAAACAGGAUUAGAUACCCUGGU